CAUCCUGCUCUGGAGGGCUGGGGCUGAGUGGCGUUUGAAUGUCACGCGUGUUUUCUGUAGGUGCGGAAUGAGGCCUUCGAUCUUUCCAUUCGUUAUCCCAGGAAAAAAAAAAAAAGUGACUGACCGUAGAACUGAUGCAUCGGGGAUCGGAAGUGCUGUCCUCUCGGCUGAGUUCACGCGGCGUCCGAAAUCUUGGGCUGUGGAAUCUGGGAUUGCAGAAACGCUGUCAGGCAUUAGGCGGCAGCGAAAUGGCAAAGGCAGGCCUGGGGGUUUUUUUUACUGCCGUCUGGCGGUCAGCCGCAUUUUUGCAGCCCAGAUCAGAGAAGACUUAGAUAAACCGAAUCAUAGUUUGCAUAGCCGCGGCUUAUUGAAUAGUCAACACUUGCAAAUCAGAAUACAGUGUAAAGUGAAGCUGACAAGCGGAUUCAGUAAUAGUGGAUGAAUUCAGAAAGAACUAGGAAUGAAACAUGCUGAGUUCUGAGGUGUUACUUCAUGUUGUGUGAUGCCACAUGUUCUUUCUCCACUCCUAUUUAACAUUACUUGACUGCUGGGUGAGGUCCUUUGUAGGCAUUGUGUGAAGUGCACAAUCCAGAGUCUUUUGGACUCAUGACUCUUAACGAAAUGAGCAGAUGGCAGUUGUGGCUAGAUAGUCUUUGCCCUUUGCAUGACUUCAGAUUGUGCACCAGUUGCAUCAAUUCCUACACCAGUAACUCAUGCCCUGAUCACCUCCCACAUGGAUUACUGUAACAAAUACUACACUACUGCCUUACUAACAUCUAGAAGUUUCAGCUGGUACAAACUAUAGUCGCAUCGGCAGUUAUAUGUGCCUGUAUAUCAGCAAAGGUUACACUUCUACUCUGCAAGCUACUUUGGCUAUCAGUUUGCUUCCAGGUUCAAUUCAAGAUACUGGUAAUGAUCUGUAAAGCCCUACAUGUCAUGAGCUGGGUUAUGUGAGGGACCACCCCUCUCCAAUCAUAUCCCUUCUGAAUGGAGACGUGGGUCCCAUCCACAAAGGAAUAUCAUGUGACAGGACCCAGGAGAAAAGUCACCUGGCCUUCCCAAGAUUCUGAUGACAUGACUUUGCCAUCUGACCCGGAGAUCUGAAGCUAUCUGGGAAGGUCACAAAUGGUGAUCACAUGACCCUGAGAUGCUGCAACCAUUAUAAAUACAUCUGUGUAUUUGUGGGGGCUCCCGCCCUCUGGAACGAACUCCCCCCGGGACUCCGUCAACUUCCGGACCUCCGAACCUUUCGUCACGAGCUUAAAACGCAUUUAUUCAUCUGCGCAGGACUGGAACAACAAAGCCAUACUUGUAUAUAACCUGCCAGACUUCUCCUGGGCAAGCUGGAUUGAACAGAUAGAAGAAUACAAAGGAACCAAGAUGGAAUAAUUUCUGAUUUAUGAAGAAGAAGCUAAAAAGCUCAUUACAAAAUAAUUUCAGUGACUGCUUUGUUUCAAGUUCUGUUUACACUGCAAUGUUCAAUCUUGUGCUCCUCUUUUGAAGCCUGCUCUAUGUACAGGGAUUGAAGUAACGCUCCCUCUUGGAUGGAAUGGACAAUUUCCACCUGUCUAUUGUUUUGGUAAUGGACAGACUUGGAAUGAUACUAUGUGCAUGUAUCUACUUAUUUUAAUAAAUGUAUUAAAUAUAUUUUAUUUAUUUAUUAAAUUAAAUUAAACUUU